rnacentral:rRNA from 1 species
GGAGGUUGGCUUAGAAGCAGCCAUCCUUUAAAGAAAGCGUAACAGCUCACUGGUCAAGCUGUCCGGCGCCGAAAACUUAUCGGGGCUAAGCAUUAUACCGAAGAUACGAACUGUAAUUGUCCUCGGACUUUUACUUUGGUAAAGGAGCAUUCUGUUCAGCACUGAAGCGAAAGGCGCGAGCCAUCGUGGAGCGUACAGAAGUGAGAAUGUUGGCAUAAGUAGCAUAAAUGGAGGUGAGAAUCCUCCACAUCGUAAACCCAAGGUUUCCAGGGCAACGCGAAUCGCCCCUGGGUUAGUCGGUCCUAAGGUGAGGCCGAAAGGCGUAAUCGAUGGACAGCAGGUUAAUAUUCCUGCACUUCUAUAGAUUUCCAAUGGAGAGACGCAUCCUUCAACUACUCGAGAUUCUCGGAAUGAAUCUUUGGGGGUCAAGGGGUGCCUGAUAGGCAAAUCCGUCAGGCAUUAGCCUCGUGAUCAUCGCAAGCUUAUCGAAAGAUAAGCAAGGGGUGGGACUGGGGUGCCAAGAAAAUCUUCUAGGGCUAAGUCUAUAGAAACCGUACCGCAAACCGACACAGGUGGGUGGGCAUGAGUGUGCUCAGAUGAACGAGAGAACCCGCGUUUAGGAACUCGGCAAUACAGCGACCGUAACUUAGGGAUAAGGUCUCCCCACCGCAAGGUGGGGCGCAGCUAAAGACGCAAACCGACUGUUUACCAAAAACACAGCUUCCUGCUAAAUCGCAAGAUGAAGUAUAGGAAGUGAUGCCUGGCCAGUGUCAGAACGUUAAAGGGAGAGGUCAUGAUCGCAAGAUCGGCAGCCUUGAGCUGAAGCGCUGAUGAACGCCGGCGAUAACUAUAAUCGUCCUAAGGUAGCGAAAUUCCUUGACGGGUGAGUUCCGUCCCGCACGAAUGGCAUAACGAGUUUGCGACUGUCUCAACGUGGGACUCGGCGAAAUUGCAAGUGGGGUGAAGAUGCCCUGUAUGCGCAGUCAGACGAAAAGACCCCGUGAAGCUUUACUACAAUUUGAUAUUGGGUAAUGGCUUGGCAUGUUCAGUGUAGGUGGGAGCGUAAGCACCAAUGAGACACCACCCUUGCCUCGACAUUAUUCUCAUCACGAACCAUGAAUCUGGUUUGUGAAACAGUAUCUGAUGGGUAGUUUAACUGGGGCGGUUGCCUCCCAAAAUGUAACGGAGGCGUUCACAAAGGUUAGCUAGGCGCGGAUGGAAAUCGCGCUGAUCCUGCAAUAGGACAAGCUAGCUUAACUGCAAGGCCAACAAGCCGAGCAGAUACGAAAGUAGGAUAUAGUGAUCCGACCGUACGAUAUCGGACGGCGGAAGCUCAACGGAUAAAAGCUACUCCGGGGAUAACAGGCUGAUCAGGUCCAAGAGUCCACAUCGACGACCUGGUUUGGCACCUCGAUGUCGGCUCAUCGCAUCCUGGGGCUGGAGAAGGUCCCAAGGGUUAGGCUGUUCGCCUAUUAAAGCGGUACGCGAGCUGGGUUCAGAACGUCGUGAGACAGUUCGGUCUCCUGUCUACUGUGCGCGUGGAAUGUUGAGGGAGCUGGUCUCUAGUACGAGAGGACCGAGAUCAACGAACCUCUAGUGCGCCGGCUGUCCUACCAAGGGCACCGCCGGGUAGCUACGUUCGGCGCAGAUAAACGCUGAAAGCAUCUAAGCGUGAAACUGUUCCCAAGAUUAACAUUCAUUUAGGACCCUACGAGACUAGUAGGUUGAUAGGUUGCAUGUGUAAGGGUAGCAAUACCUUCAGCAGAGCAAUACUAAUCGUCCAAUGCUUCGACC